rnacentral:rRNA from 1 species
GGCUACGAUGACUAGGGGGUCUGAGAGGAUGAUCCCCCACACUGGUACUGAGACACGGACCAGACUCCUACGGGAGGCAGCAGUGGGGAAUAUUGGUCAAUGGGCGGAAGCCUGAACCAGCCAUGCCGCGUGCAGGAUGACGGCCCUAUGGGUUGUAAACUGCUUUUAUAUGGGGAGAAAAAAGUCUAUUUAUAGAUUCUUGACGGUACCAUAAGAAUAAGGAUCGGCUAACUACGUGCCAGCAGCCGCGGUAAUACGUAGGAUCCGAGCGUUGUCCGGAUUUAUUGGGUUUAAAGGGUGCGUAGGCGGAAGAAUAAGUCAGUGGUGAAAGCCGGUCGCUCAACGAUCGAAUUGCCAUUGAUACUGUUUUUCUAGAAUACGGUUGAGGUAGGCGGAAUGUGUGGUGUAGCGGUGAAAUGCAUAGAUAUCACACAGAACUCCGAUUGCGAAGGCAGCUUACUAAGCCGUUAUUGACGCUGAGGCACGAAAGCGUGGGGAUCAAACAGGAUUAGAUACCCUGGUAGUCCACGCCGUAAACGAUGUUAACUCGUUGUUGGCGAUAAAGAGUCAGCGACUAAGGGAAACCGAUAAGUUAACCACCU